rnacentral:rRNA from 1 species
GAUGAACGCUAGCUACAGGCUUAACACAUGCAAGUCGAGGGGCAGCAUGAAGGAAGCUUGCUUCCUUUGAUGGCGACCGGCGCACGGGUGAGUAACGCGUAUCGAACCUGCCCUGUACACGGGAACAGCCUUGCGAAAGUAAGAUUAAUGCCCGAUGUUGAGAUUCCGCCGCAUGACGGGGUUUCCAAAGAUUUAUCGGUACAGGAUGGCGAUGCGUCCCAUUAGCUUGUUGGCGGGGUAACGGCCCACCAAGGCGACGAUGGGUAGGGGUUCUGAGAGGAAGGUCCCCCACAUUGGAACUGAGACACGGUCCAAACUCCUACGGGAGGCAGCAGUGAGGAAUAUUGGUCAAUGGUCGCGAGACUGAACCAGCCAAGUAGCGUGCAGGAAGACGGCCCUCCGGGUUGUAAACUGCUUUUAGUUGGGAAUAAAAGGGCGUACGUGUACGCCGUAUUGUAUGUACCAUCAGAAAAAGGACCGGCUAAUUCCGUGCCAGCAGCCGCGGUAAUACGGAAGGUCCGGGCGUUAUCCGGAUUUAUUGGGUUUAAAGGGAGCGUAGGCGGGUUUUUAAGUCAGUUGUGAAAGUCUGCGGCUCAACCGUAGAAUUGCAGUUGANACUGGAAGCCUUGAGUGCACGCAGGGGUGCC